AUGUAGUGUAGCAUGCCCGUAUGUGAAGUACUCUGAUGAAUAUUUGUUAUUUAAUUGUUUUUGGGUAACGGGGUGUUACAUUCUU
rnacentral:pre_miRNA from 1 species